UUGGCUCGGUAGCUCAGUUGGUAGAGCAACGGACUGAAAAUCCGUGUGUCGGCGGUUUGGUCCGGUAGUUCAG
rnacentral:tRNA from 1 species